rnacentral:rRNA from 1 species
AGUGAACGCUGGCGGUAGGCCUAACACAUGCAAGUCGAACGGCAGCACAGUAAGAGCUUGCUCUUACGGGUGGCGAGUGGCGGACGGGUGAGGAAUACAUCGGAAUCUACUUUUUCGUGGGGGAUAACGUAGGGAAACUUACGCUAAUACCGCAUACGACCUACGGGUGAAAGCAGGGGAUCUUCGGACCCUGCGCGAUUGAAUGAGCCGAUGUCGGAUUAGCUAGUUGGCGGGGUAAAGGCCCACCAAGGCGACGAUCCGUAGCUGGUCUGAGAGGAUGAUCAGCCACACUGGAACUGAGACACGGUCCAGACUCCUACGGGAGGCAGCAGUGGGGAAUAUUGGACAAUGGGCGCAAGCCUGAUCCAGCCAUACCGCGUGGGUGAAGAAGGCCUUCGAGUUGUAAAGCCCUUUUGUUGGGAAAGAAAAGCAGCAGGUUAAUACCCCGCUGUUCUGACGGUACCCAAAGAAUAAGCACCGGCUAACUUCGUG